AGGAAAAACACAGGUGUUAGUGAUACCACUAAGUGAGCGAGCGUGAACAACACCAGGAUCUGAUGAACUUCAGCCUGAGCAGAGGUCUCAUGAUGAACCACAGUGACCGUGUCGGCGUUCAGAGUCAUGAGCUCACCUUCACAGGUGUUUCCAGUUUCAGGCUGAUCAGACCUCUGCUCAGGUUUGGAGCUGCACUGGGAACAACCAGGCAGAGGCUGAGGCACUGCAGCAGGCCUUUCAUCCACAGGCAGUGAGCCAGGAACAGCAGCAGCAGGCAGGCGCCGGCCGAGCAGUACACGCCGAUCACCGUGCUCUCCUCCGGCAGGAAACACUUGGACAGAGCGUAACUGGCAGCUCGUGCCGCAGGUUAUCAUGAACCCCUGUGUUACAUCCUCCCGUCACUCACUUCACUCCCUUCUUGGUGACGAUCCUGGUGGAGGACGCGUUGAAGACCUUCUCGAAGCGCUGCAGCUUGAACCAGUCCAUCCUGCAGGGAGACACAACACAGCACAAAAAAAAAAGAAGAAAUAAAUAAAUAAAAACA